rnacentral:rRNA from 1 species
UACGGAGGGGGCUAGCGUUAUUCGGAAUUACUGGGCGUAAAGGGCUCGUAGGCGGCCAACUAAGUCAGACGUGAAAUCCCUCGGCUUAACCGGGGAACUGCGUCUGAUACUGGAUGGCUAGAGGUUGGGAGAGGGAUGCGGAAUUCCAGGUGUAGCGGUGAAAUGCGUAGAUAUCUGGAGGAACACCGGUGGCGAAGGCGGCAUCCUGGACCAACACUGACGCUGAGGAGCGAAAGCCAGGGGAGCAAACGGG